rnacentral:lncRNA from 1 species
AAAGGAGUGGUAUGCAACAUAACAUCAAUCAUCCUUUCUUCUCGAAGCAUAACUGUAAGGUGUGAUAAAAAUCUACCAGGAGUGCGGGCACUGGAUCUUCGUUCUUAACCUUGACGGCCCAAAACACACUAAUAACUGCUACGUCCACCAACUUCUCCAUAUUAGGAAAUAACAUCAAUCCAAAAAUAAGUAAAGCCAUAAUAGUAUCAUGGGCUUCCCACUUCUGGGCUUUGGCAAAGUUUUGAGCAGUCUUCUCCAAGUACUCUUGAGG